UACGUAGGGGGCAAGCGUUGUCCGGAAUCAUUGGGCGUAAAGAGCGUGUAGGCGGCUAGGUAGGUCCGUUGUGAAAACUCGAGGCUCAACCUCGAGACGUCGAUGGAAACCAUCUAGCUAGAGUCCGGAAGAGGAGAGUGGAAUUCCUGGUGUAGCGGUGAAAUGCGCAGAUAUCAGGAAGAACACCCGUGGCGAAGGCGGCUCUCUGGUACGUGACUGACGCUGAGACGCGAAAGCGUGGGGAGCGAACAGG
rnacentral:rRNA from 1 species